CAGCCGCCACGGUAAUACGAAGGGGGCUAGCGUUGUUCGGAUUUACUGGGCGUAAAGGGUGCGUAGGCGGACUGAUAAGUCAGGGGUGAAAUCCCAAGGCUCAACCUUGGAACUGCCUUUGAUACUGUUAGUCUUGAGUUCGAGAGAGGUGAGUGGAACUGCGAGUGUAGAGGUGAAAUUCGUAGAUAUUCGCAAGAACACCAGUGGCGAAGGCGGCUCACUGGCUCGAAACUGACGCUGAGGCACGAAAGCGUGGGGAGCAAACAGGAUUAGAUACCCCUGUAGUCCCUGUCUCUUAACA
rnacentral:rRNA from 1 species